rnacentral:rRNA from 1 species
UACGAGGGGGGCAAGCGUUGUUCGGAAUUACUGGGCGUAAAGCGCGCGCAGGCGGCUCUUCAAGUCAGGGGUGAAAGCCCAGAGCUCAACUCUGGAACUGCCUUUGAGACUGAAGAGCUUGAGUACGGGAGAGGUGAGUGGAAUUCCCAGUGUAGAGGUGAAAUUCGUAGAUAUUGGGAAGAACACCGGUGGCGAAGGCGGCUCACUGGCCCGUUACUGACGCUCAGGCGCGACAGCGUGGGGAGCAAACAGG